rnacentral:rRNA from 1 species
UACGUAGGGUGCAAGCGUUAAUCGGAAUUACUGGGCGUAAAGCGUGCGCAGGCGGCUUUGCAAGACAGAUGUGAAAUCCCUGGGCUCAACCCAGGAACUGCGUCCAAGACUGGGAGGCUUGAAUCCGGGAGAGGGAUGCGGAAUUCCAGGUGUAGCGGUGAAAUGCGUAGAUAUCUGGAGGAACACCGGUGGCGAAGGCGGCAUCCUGGACCGGUAUUGACACUGAGGCGCGAAAGCCAGGGGAGCGAAACGGG